AUGUCAUACCAAAUCAAUCAAUAUCAAUUCAACACACAAAAGUUAAGGUUUGUAAAUCGAUUUCUUAAAAACCACACAUGCACGCAAGCACAAAAUAAAGUUUACAGAGCAAGCAAGAAUGCUUCCCCUCAUCAAUUAACUAAUGAUCAGUGUUGUCAAAUAAUGACUAUAGAAACACUAUAG